rnacentral:rRNA from 1 species
GACAGAGGUCCCAAGCGUUAGGCGGAAUCACUGGGCUUAAAGCGUGCGCAGGCGGUUAUGUAAGACAGGUGUGAAAUCCCCGGGCUUAACCUGGGAACUGCAUUUGUGACUGCAUAGCUAGAGUACGGUAGAGGGGGAUGGAAUUCCGCGUGUAGCAGUGAAAUGCGUAGAUAUGCGGAGGAACACCGAUGGCGAAGGCAAUCCCCUGGACCUGUACUGACGCUCAUGCACGAAAGCGUGGGGAGCAAACAGG